rnacentral:rRNA from 1 species
UACGGGGGGAGCAAGCGUUGUUCGGAUUUACUGGGCGUAAAGGGCUCGUAGGCGGCCAACUAAGUCAGACGUGAAAUCCCUCAGCUUAACUGGGGAACUGCGUCUGAUACUGGAUGGCUUGAGAUUGGGAGAGGGAUGCGGAAUUCCAGGUGUAGCGGUGAAAUGCGUAGAUAUCUGGAGGAACACCGGUGGCGAAGGCGGCAUCCUGGACCAACACUGACGCUGAGGAGCGAAAGCCAGGGGAGCAAACGGG